AUCCAAUGAUGGUAAUUGGUAAUUUUCGCCUGAAAUUAAUUUUUUUGAUGUGGCUUUUUAACUGAGGAUG
rnacentral:snoRNA from 1 species